GAGAUGCGGGUGCUACCAUGCAGUCGAACGGUGAAGGAGAGCUUGCUCUUUGGAUCAGUGCGAACGGGUGAGUAACACGUGAGCAAUCUGCCCCUGACUCUGGGAUAACAGUUGGAAACACUGCUAAUACCGGAUACGAGACGUGACCGCAUGGUCAACGUUUGGAAAGAACUUCGGUCAGGAUGAGCUCGCGGCCUAUCAGCUUGUUGGUGAGGUAAUGGCUCACCAAGGCGUCGACGGUAGCCGGCCUGAGAGGGUGACCGGCCACACUGGGACUGAGACACGGCCCAGACUCCUACGGAGGCAGCAGUGGGGAAUAUUGCACAAUGGGCGAAAGCCUGAUGCAGCAACGCCGCGUGAGGACGACGGCCUUCGGGUUGUAAACCUCUUUUAGCAGGGAAGAAGCGAAAGUGACGGUACUGCAGAAAAAGCGCCGGCUAACUACGUGCCAGCAGCCGCGGUAAUACGUAGGGCGCAAGCUUAUCCGGAAUUAUUGGGCGUAAAGAGCUCGUAGGCGGUUUGUCGCGUCUGCUGUGAAAAUGGAGGCUCAACCUCCAGCCUGCAGUGGGUACGGGCAGACUAGAGUGCGGUAGGGGAGAUGGAAUUCCUGGUGUAGCGGUGGAAUGCGCAGAUAUCAGGAGGAACACCGAUGGCGAAGGCGAUCUCUGGGCCGUAACUGACGCUGAGGAGCGAAAGGGUGGGGAGCAAACAGGCUUAGAUCCCUGGUAGUCCACCCCGUAAACGUUGGGAACUAGUUGUGGGGUCCAUUCCACGGAUUCCUGACGCAGCUAACGCAUUAAGUUCCCCGCCUGGGGAGUACGGCCGCAAGGCUAAACUCAAGGAAUUGACGGGGACCCGCACAAGCGGCGGAGCAUGCGGAUUAAUUCGAUGCAACGCGAAAACCUUACCAAGGCUUGACAUAUACGAGAACGGGCUAGAAAUAGUCAACUCUUUGGACACCGUAAACAGGUGUGCAUGGUUGUCGUCAGCUCGUGUCUGAGAUGUUGGGUUAGUCCGCAAGACGCAACCCUCGUUCUAUGUUGCAGCACGUAAUGUGGGAACUCAUGGAAUACUGCCGGGUCAACU
rnacentral:rRNA from 1 species